AAUAACCAAAUAUGAUACUCGAGCUAAGGGUCAAGUUGGUAAUUUUUCUUACAUCUUCCCCCCUGGAGCCCAGGUAUCAUAUACGCCCCCAAAAUAAAGAGCCUUGAAUACUAGAAGAAAAAUACCUAAACCUAACAAGCUUAAGUGAAUAGCUAAAAUUGUGGUAAUUUUAUUUUGAUCUUUCCA
rnacentral:antisense_RNA from 1 species